UUAUUGCCAUGGCCGAUGAACUGUCUCACUGCCAAAGCAAGGUCCAUGGCCUAGCUUAUUACCUCCAUUGCAUUUCGAAGGGGUGCUCGCCUAGGUUCCCCCAAGUGGGAGAGCUUACGUAAUAAUUUGUGGCGGUGGAGGCCUGCGUUUGCACGACCCCUUU